UCCCUGGUGGUCUAGUGGUUAGGAUGCCUGGUUUUCACCCAGGUGGCCCAGGUUUGAUUCCCAGUCAGGGAA